ACUCCUACGGGAGGCAGCAGUGGGGAAUAUUGCACAAUGGGCGCAAGCCUGAUGCAGCGACGCCGCGUGAGGGAUGACGGCCUUCGGGUUGUAAACCUCUUUCAGGAGGGACGAAGCUACUCGGGUUAAUAGCCCAGAGGGUGACGGUACCUCCAGAAGAAGCCCCGGCUAACUACGUGCCAGCAGCCGCGGUAAU
rnacentral:rRNA from 1 species